rnacentral:rRNA from 1 species
CUACGUGCCAGCAGCCGCGGUAAUACGUAGGGUGCGAGCGUUAAUCGGAAUUACUGGGCGUAAAGCGGGCGCAGACGGUUACUUAAGCAGGAUGUGAAAUCCCCGGGCUCAACCUGGGAACUGCGUUCUGAACUGGGUGACUAGAGUGUGUCAGAGGGAGGUAGAAUUCCACGUGUAGCAGUGAAAUGCGUAGAGAUGUGGAGGAAUACCGAUGGCGAAGGCAGCCUCCUGGGAUAACACUGACGUUCAUGCCCGAAAGCGUGGGUAGCAAACAGGAUUAGAUACCCUGGUAGUCCACGCCGUAAACGAUGAGUGCUAGGUGUUGGAUCCUUUCCGGGAUUCAGUGCCGCAGCUAACGCAUUAAGCACUCCGCCUGGGGAGUACGACCGCAAGGUUGAAACUCAAAGGAAUUGACGGGGGCCCGCACAAGCGGUGGAGCAUGUGGUUUAAUUCGAAGCAACGCGAAGAACCUUACCAGGUCUUGACAUCCCGAUGCUAUUUCUAGAGAUAGAAAGUUAC